GUAGGGAAUAUUGGACAAUGGGUGCAAGCCUGAUCCAGCCAUGCCGCGUGCAGGAAGAAGGCCUUCUGGGUCGUAAACUGCUUUUGCCGGGGGAUAAAAUAGCUUUGCGAAGCGAAUUGAAGGUACCUGGUGAAUAAGCCACGGCUAACUACGUGCCAGCAGCCGCGGUAAUACGUAGGUGGCAAGCGUUGUCCGGAUUUAUUGGGUUUAAAGGGUGCGUAGGCGGUCAAAUAAGUCAGUGGUGAAAUACGGCAGCUUAACUGUCGAGGUGCCAUUGAUACUGCUUGACUUGAGUACUGAUGAGGUAGGCGGAAUGGACGGUGUAGCGGUGAAAUGCUUAGAGAUCGUCCAGAACACCGAUAGCGAAGGCAGCUUACUAAGGAGUAACUGACGCUGAGGCACGAAAGUGUGGGGAUCAAACAGGAUUAGAUACCCGAGUAGUCC
rnacentral:rRNA from 1 species